GAUGAACGCUGGCGGCGUGCCUAAUACAUGUAAGUCGAGCGAACAGACGAGGAGCUUGCUCCUCUGACGUUAGCGGCGGACGGGUGAGUAACACGUGGAUAACCUACCUAUAAGACUGGGAUAACUUCGGGAAACCGGAGCUAAUACCGGAUAAUAUAUUGAACCGCAUGGUUCAAUAGUGAAAGACGGUUUUGCUGUCACUUAUAGAUGGAUCCGCGCCGCAUUAGCUAGUUGGUAAGGUAACGGCUUACCAAGGCAACGAUGCGUAGCCGACCUGAGAGGGUGAUCGGCCACACUGGAACUGAGACACGGUCCAGACUCCUACGGGAGGCAGCAGUAGGGAAUCUUCCGCAAUGGGCGAAAGCCUGACGGAGCAACGCCGCGUGAGUGAUGAAGGUCUUCGGAUCGUAAAACUCUGUUAUUAGGGAAGAACAAAUGUGUAAGUAACUAUGCACGUCUUGACGGUACCUAAGCAGAAAGCCACGGCUAACUACGU
rnacentral:rRNA from 1 species